GACAGAGGAGGCAAGCGUUGUUCGGAAUCACUGGGCUUAAAGCGCGUGUAGGCGGCCCCGCAAGUACCUUGUGAAAUCCCUCGGCUCAACCGGGGAAUGGCUGGGUAUACUGCAGGGCUUGAGGCAGGUAGGGGUCACUGGAACUCUAGGUGGAGCGAUGAAAUGCGUAGAUAUCUAGAGGAACGCCCGGGGCGAAAGCGGGUGACUGGGCCUGUCCUGACGCUGAGACGCGAAAGCGUGGGGAGCAAACGGG
rnacentral:rRNA from 1 species